GGUCAAGCGAAUAGUGGUUUACGGUGGAUGUCUUGGAGUUGUCAGGCGAUGAAGGUCGUGAUAAGCUGCGAAAAGCCUCGGGGAGGAGCACAUGUCCUGUGAUCCGGGGAUGACCGAAUGGGGUAACCCGACAGGGUAAAGCCUUGUCAUUGCCUUCCUGAAUGAAUAGGGAGGGUAAGGCGAAACUGGGUGAACUGAAACAUCUAAGGUACC
rnacentral:rRNA from 2 species